rnacentral:ncRNA from 1 species
GAACGAAAAGGUAAACCUUGAGCGAUCAAGGGACACAAAGCCACGGGUCUUAACAAGCGCGAAUAAUCGCGGAAAAAAGACCGCGGAAUCAGUAAGAGAAAAGACAGCCGGGUUGCCGAAU